GCCGCUUCCAGGGCCUCAGGCGGCUCCGAGUUUCUCCUGAAAGUUGCGGUUUUGCCGCCUGUACACUCGACAUAUGGCGUUUUCUUCAGUAAUCUACAUCUGAAAUAAAGUAUUUUGUGCGUCGCUUGGGUUUAGAUUAUCCGUGAGCAGGCAUAACAGCAGGCGUGAUGUCAUUGCACCGCUCCCCCUGAGUUUGAGUGCGUUACCCCUUUCUCUCCCACUAUAGUUCGCAGAAUGUUGGCCUCCGUGAUUCCUGAGCUGCUCCAAGCCUUUGGCUUAGCUCGCUCCUGGAGGAGUGGCCUGAUCCUCGCGGUUCCCAGUGAGGCCUUGCAGCGCCCGGUCGGGUGCGAUCCUGCUUCCCCGCCCGGACUCGCUGAAUACAAAGCUUUUGUAUUAAAUACAAGGAAGGUGCUACUCCAGCUCGGGAGUCCUGUGUGGGGUUAUACAAACUUAUUCCAAGCCUUGCAUUCCUGGUCCUAACGGCCACUCGGGGACAACAGGAAGCGGCCACAUACCAAACACGCCUCGCAAGAUUUUCCUUCCUAUUCGAAAAGGGAACUCCUUUUACCACCUAUUCCAGCAUUACUACAAUGAACAUAACACAGAAUGGACACUCAGCAUGGGAAUGAGGAGGAAGACCAGAGGAGGCCUGGAAUGCUCUACCAGCACCAGAGCAGAUACCACUCAAGAUGUUAAACUGACAGCAGCUCUAGUCUAUAUGGAUCAAGGAUUAAAGAAAAAGUCUGACAAAAUCAGCAGAGAUCAUCCCUUCAGUCUUGGUUCCUUUGGGAGAGAAAGGGUGGCUGGACCCACCCUCCCACCCUA